rnacentral:lncRNA from 1 species
GUUUAAGUCUGACAAUCUGGUACGAUCAAUCAAUUCAUGCCUUCAUGGUCUAGUGGGUAGCCAUUUUUACCCUAACUUGUUGACACUCUUUCCACUUAAUAUAAAUACAAAAACAUGAAAACAUGCUACCCUUGGGACUAUUAUGCAUGAAUCUAUUUACUUUUAUAAUUACAUGUUAUAAUAAUGGGUUAGGAACUACAUAGAUGAGACCAUCAACAAAGUGGAGUGCUGGAGUCUGGGUGGUAGAGGGAUUCAGAGCAAUUUCAGCUCAAGAAAUGGUGUCAUCCUUGCAGUGAAAGAGAAAAUAGAGGAUGUUCCAUGAAGGAGCUGAGGAGUAAAUUCUUUUUAGAGGAAACUUCAAUUUAAACGUGUUCUUAAAUUAAGAUGACAUGUUAUCAAUUAAUGAUGAUUUCAUAUAAAAUAUUAUUUUAGGACAUCCCCAGAGGUAGACAUUAAUAUAAUAAGUGCAAAAGAUGGAGAAAAUAACCACUAAUCAGUUUGUAACAUGGAAGCCUAACAUGCAGGAAGCCUUGAGGUCCAUUCAGACCUUGGUAGCACAGACCUCUCAUCUCUGCCCUUAAGAGGUAGAAGCAGGAGGAUCCAAAGUGCAAGGUCAUCCUUGUCUACAUAUCAAACUGAAGGCCAGCCUGAGAAACAUGAGACCACAUCUCAAAAGAAAAAGUACAGGCUAAUUGAAAACAGGAUUACAUAAGCCUGGUUGAUCAUUAGUUUAACUUUUACUCAAGUUCUUUGACCUAGACACUUGAGUUUCCCUUUCCCACUUUACUGCUCCAGAACUUGAAAUACAAGAGAUAAUGUAACUCAGCACACAGGGGACACAUGAAGACGUGUUCUUAUAGAUUCAUUAUCGAUGUUUCUUUCAUCAAGGACAACAGUGGUUCUCAACACCAGUCAUAUCGUGGUCUAUUUGUGGAUCAGCUGUUCUGAGAAGACAGCACAGUGAAGUCCUCUGCACUGCCCUCUAGCUGAUGGGAGCCACGAUCUUUGCACAGGAGCACUUACAGAUAAACACAGAAGCUGUUUCUGCACUAUGCUGCGAUGCAUAGAUAUGCAGAGAUGCCAAUGAGCCUCCCACCUAACCUUGUAAGGGGUGGGGUUAUGGAUGGCACCAUCACACUUGCUGUAUGUGGUGCUAGGCAACUGGGGUUUUAUGCAGGCUAGGAAAGUCAUUCCACAGCUGAACUGAGCUCACAGCCCAGGAAGUUCGUAUUUUAGGAGAGUCUAAGUAACUAUGUUUUCAAUAUGUCUUCUAAUGGAAGGAGGAAAGCCUAUUUUUAAUUUUUUCAAGUUUUUUAUUUAUUGAAAUUAUAAUAUAAUUAGAUUAUUUCACACAUUCCUUUCCUCCCUCCAAACACUUCCAUCUGUACCACAUACCCUCCUGUGCUCUUCUAAAUUCAUAGCCUCUCUUUCCUUAACUGGUGGUGGUAAUAGUGGUGGUGAUGGUGGUGGUGUGUGGAUAUGUGUGUGCAUGUGCACUCGUGUGUGUGUGUGUGUGUGUGUGUGUGUGUUUCUAAUACAAUCUGCUUACUCUGUAUGAUGUUACUGGCAUGUACAUGUUUUCAGUGUUGACUAUUUGAUAAUUGGUUGGUAUAUAAUUCUCCUGCUCUCAGCAAUCCUUCGUUGACGGUUCUUUGUCUAGAAUUGAAGCCUCUCCUUUUCUAUGUUAUCACAUCUGUUGGUGUUACUCUUGUUCAGGUGAUGUUUAGGAAGCCAUAUUAAUAACAUUUCUUAGUCUUGUCUUCUGACACUUCUAGGUGACAGCUUAAAGACAACUUGGGCAUGUAUUAACAAUUCAAAACUGCCACAGAGGAAGUGAGUGUGGAGUUUAGGGGUGAAAUACUUUGCUUGGUAUGUGUCCAGACAUGGGGAGGAAGGAGAAGAAAGGAAAGAAAGAGAGAAGAGCGGAGUUGAGGAAGACAUGGAAGGAAGCACACAAGAAGGUAGG